rnacentral:rRNA from 1 species
UACGGAGGGAGCAAGCGUUGUCCGGAUUCAUUGGGUUUAAAGGGUGCGCAGGCGGGCGAUUAAGUCAGGGGUGAAAGACGGUUGCUCAACAAUCGCAGUGCCUUUGAUACUGGUUGUCUUGGGUGACCUUGAGGUAGGCGGAAUGGGUGGUGUAGCGGUGAAAUGCAUAGAUACCACCCAGAACUCCGAUUGCGAAGGCAGCCUACUGGAGGUUCACCGACGCUCAGGCACGAAAGCGUGGGGAUCAAACAGG